CGGGCAAUUGGAAUGAGAACAAUUUAAAUCCCCAAACGAGGAUCAAUUGGAGGGCAAGUCUGGUGCCAGCAGCCGCGGUAAUUCCAGCUCCAAUAGCGUAUAUUAAAGUUGUUGCAGUUAAAAAGCUCGUAGUUGGAUUUCUGUUUUGGAUGUCCGGUCCGCUC